rnacentral:rRNA from 1 species
UACGUAGGUGGCAAGCGUUGUCCGGAUUUACUGGGUGUAAAGGGCGUGUAGCCGGGCUUACAAGUCAGAUGUGAAAUCCGGGGGCUCAACCCCCGAACUGCAUUUGAAACUGUAGGUCUUGAGUAUCGGAGAGGCAGGCGGAAUUCCUAGUGUAGCGGUGAAAUGCGUAGAUAUUAGGAGGAACACCAGUGGCGAAGGCGGCCUGCUGGACGACAACUGACGGUGAGGCGGGAAAGCGUGGGGAGCAAACAGG